UUAAAUUGAAGAGUUUGAUCAUGGCUCAGAUUGAACGCUGGCGGCAGGCCUAACACAUGCAAGUCGAACGGUAACAGGAAACAGCUUGCUGUUUCGCUGACGAGUGGCGGACGGGUGAGUAAUGUCUGGGAAACUGCCUGAUGGAGGGGGAUAACUACUGGAAACGGUAGCUAAUACCGCAUAACGUCGCAAGACCAAAGAGGGGGACCUUCGGGCCUCUUGCCAU
rnacentral:rRNA from 1 species